AAAAUUAUAUGGCAACAUGGCAUCUAGUUGUUAAGAAACGUGGGGAAGUUUUAGGAGUGACGGCGGUGUUUUGAGAUGUGAGAGAUUUGCGACGUUUAGCGCAAAUCUUGUGUAGUUAGUGUGUAGUGUAGUCAAUAGUUUUGUUGUGUGUGAGAACAAUGAGGCGACUGCUGAAUGUUACAGGUGUUACAGGAGUGAUACAUCUCCUGUUGUCAGGCCUGCAGGUAUCAGGCUGUUGUUCUCACCGCCACGCGACGACGGCUGUCCCAAUUCAAAGUGUACUUCAAAUGCAUACUCCAAAUGCGCCAUCGAUUUCCCCAAAUAUCAAGCGUGGUCCGGUGCACGCUUCGUGGUCCCAUAUAUCCCACAAUCCAUAGCGCGGCGGUGGGUGUGGAUAAUUUUGCCGCAAAAUACGGCAGAAGGGAGCGGCCGAAGAGUGAACUGUCAAAACUUAUCACACAUUUGAUUUCCAUGUGUGACAACUGCAAGUGUCCAGAGUGAGGACAGACUGAGGGACCCACUGCUGCACAUCAUCUGUGAGGCUUUGCACCC
ensembl:lncRNA